AGCCUCUAUCGAGAAACCUCAGCUCUACACCUUGAAGCCCUGUAUUGAAGACACUGCUUCCGUGACAAUGGGCUGCCUGGUAAAGGACUACUUCCCUGUUCCGGUGACUGUGACCUGGUAUUCAGACUCCCUGAACAUGAGCACUGUGAACUUCCCUGCCCUCGGCUCUGAACUCAAGGUCACCACCAGCCAAGUGAUUAGCUGGGACAAGUCAGCCAAGAACUUCACAUGCCAAGUGGCACAUCCUCCAUCCUCAUUCAACGAAAGUAGGACCAUCCUAGUUCGACCUGUCAACAUCACUGAGCCCACCUUGAAGCUACUCCACUCAUCCUGCGACCCCAAUGCAUUCCACUCCACCAUCCAGCUGUACUGCUUCAUUUAUGACCACCUCCUAAAUGAUGUCACUGUCAGCUGGCUAAUGGACGAUCAGAAGAUACCUAAUACACUUGCACAAACUGUUCGAAUCAAGGAGGAAGGCAAACUAGCCUCUACCUACAGUGAACUCAACAUCACUGAGCAGCAGUGGAUGUCUGAAAGCACCUUCACCUGCAAGGUCACCUCCCAAGGCCUAAACUAUUUCGCCCAAACUCAGAGAUGCCCAGAUGAUGAGCCACGGGGUGUGAUUACCUACCUGAUCCCACCCAGCCCCCUGGACCUGUAUCAAAAGGGGACUCCCAAGCUUACCUGUCUGGUGGUGGACCUGGAGAGCGAGAAGAAUGUCACCGUGACGUGGACCCAAGAGAACAAAAAGUCUCCAGGCUCAGCAACCCAGAGGUCCACCAAGCACCAUAACGCCACAACCAGUAUCACCUCCAUCUUGCCUGUGGAUGCCAAGGACUGGAUCGAAGGCAACGGCUAUCGGUGCAUAGUGGCCCACCCUGAAUUUCCCAAGCCCAUUGUGCGUUCCAUCACCAAGACCCCAGGCAAGCGCUUAGCCCCCGAGGUAUAUGUGUUCCUGCCACCAGAGGAGGAGAGCAAGGACAAACGCACACUCACCUGCUUGAUCCAGAACUUCUUCCCUGAGGACAUCUCUGUGCAGUGGCUGGAGGAUGGCGAACUGAUUCCAGACAGUCAGCACAGUACCACAACACCUCUGAAAUCCAAUGGCUCCAAUCAAGGCUUCUUCAUCUUCAGUCGCCUAGAGGUCACCGAGACACGCUGGACACAGAGAAAACAGUUCACCUGCCGAGUGAUCCAUGAGGCACUGGGGAAACCCAGGAAACUGGAGAGAACAAUAUCCACGAGCCUUGGUAACGCCUCCCUCCAUCCCUCCCAGGCCUCCAUGUAGCUGCGGUGGGGAAGGUGGAUGGCAGACAUCCGCUCGCUGUUGUAACACCAGGAAGCUACCCCCAAUAAACACUCAGUGCCUG